rnacentral:rRNA from 1 species
UACGUAGGGUGCAAGCGUUGUCCGGAAUUAUUGGGCGUAAAGAGCUCGUAGGCGGUUUGUCGCGUCUGCUGUGAAAUCCCGAGGCUCAACCUCGGGUCUGCAGUGGGUACGGGCAGACUAGAGUGUGGUAGGGGAGAAUGGAACUCCUGGUGUAGCGGUGGAAUGCGCAGAUAUCAGGAAGAACACCGAUGGCGAAGGCAGUUCUCUGGGCCGUAACUGACGCUGAGGAGCGAAAGCAUGGGGAGCGAACAGG